GAUGAACGCUGGCGGCGUGCCUAAUACAUGCAAGUCGAGCGAACGGACGAGAAGCUUGCUUCUCUGAUGUUAGCGGCGGACGGGUGAGUAACACGUGGAUAACCUACCUAUAAGACUGGGAUAACUUCGGGAAACCGGAGCUAAUACCGGAUAAUAUUUUGAACCGCAUGGUUCAAAAGUGAAAGACGGUCUUGCUGUCACUUAUAGAUGGAUCCGCGCUGCAUUAGCUAGUUGGUAAGGUAACGGCUUACCAAGGCAACGAUGCAUAGCCGACCUGAGAGGGUGAUCGGCCACACUGGAACUGAGACACGGCCCAGACUCCUACGGGAGGCAGCAGUAGGGAAUCUUCCGCAAUGGGCGAAAGCCUGACGGAGCAACGCCGCGUGAGUGAUGAAGGUCUUCGGAUCGUAAAACUCUGUUAUUAGGGAAGAACAUAUGUGUAAGUAACUGUGCACAUCUUGACGGUACCUAAUCAGAAAGCCACGGCUAACUACGUGCCAGCAGCCGCGGUAAUACGUAGGUGGCAAGCGUUAUCCGGAAUUAUUGGGCGUAAAGCGCGCGUAGGCGGUUUUUUAAGUCUGAUGUGAAAGCCCACGGCCCAACCGUGGAGGGUCAUUGGAAACUGGAAAACUUGAGUGCAGAAGAGGAAAGUGGAAUUCCAUGUGUAGCGGUGAAAUGCGCAGAGAUAUGGAGGAACACCAGUGGCGAAGGCGACUUUCUGGUCUGUAACUGACGCUGAUGUGCGAAAGCGUGGGGAUCAAACAGGAUUAGAUACCCUGGUAGUCCACGCCGUAAACGAUGAGUGCUAAGUGUUAGGGGGUUUCCGCCCCUUAGUGCUGCAGCUAACGCAUUAAGCACUCCGCCUGGGGAGUACGACCGCAAGGUUGAAACUCAAAGGAAUUGACGGGGACCCGCACAAGCGGUGGAGCAUGUGGUUUAAUUCGAAGCAACGCGAAGAACCUUACCAAAUCUUGACAUCCUUUGACAACUCUAGAGAUAGAGCCUUCCCCUUCGGGGGACAAAGUGACAGGUGGUGCAUGGUUGUCGUCAGCUCGUGUCGUGAGAUGUUGGGUUAAGUCCCGCAACGAGCGCAACCCUUAAGCUUAGUUGCCAUCAUUAAGUUGGGCACUCUAAGUUGACUGCCGGUGACAAACCGGAGGAAGGUGGGGAUGACGUCAAAUCAUCAUGCCCCUUAUGAUUUGGGCUACACACGUGCUACAAUGGACAAUACAAAGGGCAGCGAAACCGCGAGGUCAAGCAAAUCCCAUAAAGUUGUUCUCAGUUCGGAUUGUAGUCUGCAACUCGACUACAUGAAGCUGGAAUCGCUAGUAAUCGUAGAUCAGCAUGCUACGGUGAAUACGUUCCCGGGUCU
rnacentral:rRNA from 1 species